AAAACAGGGCUCACGCGCGUUCCACGGGCACACGAACAAGCGCGCAUACAUCCGCGGCUGUUGGCCCACGCUAUCGUCAAGGACGUGAAGGGCAAAAAAAAAGCUAAACAGCGAUGCGCUUUGCGGUCUCGUGCGUGGCGGGUGUCGUGGGAGCGUGGGUGUGGCGGCGGUCUUCGGGCCAGGAUGCGGAGUGCUACCGCGGCAUUCAAAACGCGCUCACAUUCCACAAUCCAGACCGCAAAGGGCGGGUCUUCAGCCAACGCUAUGAACCGUACCAGCUGGGUGAGAUCAUCCCUAUCACCGCAGACGUAGCCCUCUUCCGCUUCCUGUUACAUCAUAGCGAGGAUGAGUUUAACCUGAGGCCCUGCUCGACACUGCAGGCGUGCUACAAGUACGGCGUGCAGCCGAAGGACCAGUGCCAACGCUUCUACACGCCCGUGACGGCAAACCACACAGCGGGCUAUUUCGACCUAAUCGUAAAACGCAAGAAGGAUGGUCUUAUGACAAAUCACCUGUUCGGCAUGCAUGUCGGUGAUACGCUGCUCUUCCGUAGUGUCGCCUUCAAAAUCCAAUACCGCCCGAACCGAUGGAAACACGUGGGCAUGAUCGGCGGCGGCACCGGCUUCACUCCAUUUCUGCAGAUCAUCCGACACGCCUUGACGGAGCCAGUGGAUAGCAAGGAGGCGGACAGGACGAAACUGUCCUUCCUGUUCUGCAACCGCACCGAGCGGCACAUCCUCCUCGGUGGCGUCUUCGAUGACCUUGCGAGGCGCUACCCGCACCGCUUCCGCAUGUUCUACACGAUCGAUCUGGCCGUUGACAAGGGCAAGUGGUUAGAGCAGGAAAACCACUUUUUGGGAUACGUAACAACCGACAUGAUCCGCCGCAGCAUGCCGGCGCCGGAGGAGAAGAACAAGAUCAUCAUGCUAUGCGGACCAGACCCGCUGCUGUCGCACGUGGCCGGCACACCGAUGUCAACGAUGUCCUCCAUGUCGGGUAGCCUGAACAUCCAGCCCAUGGCAACCGACAUCAACAAUCUCGUCAGCCUCGGUGGCCUUUUGAAAGAGCUCGGCUACGAUAACACAGACGUGUAUCGCUUCUAGAGGGGCGCGCAAGUGGUACCGUCACGGCGAACGUUGCGCGGGUGCAACAUGCGUUUGUGCCUCCUCAGCGGCUACGUUGUCUGUUCACAUCCGCGCUUGUGUGCGCUCACGGGAAAUUCAACGGAAAGCCACGCACUCCUGCGUGCGCGCGCAUCACACUUGCACACGUUGUCCCUGAUGGGAUCGUCGUGCAGGCGGGCGGCUAGAGGGAGCCCAUAUGUCGCAUCUUUCUCCCCGCGAAAACGAUUGCCUAUCGCCCUUGUCGUUGCACGCUCCUUCUGCUGCUACCGCGUAGACGACGCGAAAGAAACGCGGAGAGCACGACGACUGGCCAGCGUCGCGCCAUGCAAUUAGGUGACUGGGAAGGAGGUGGGGAGGGGGCUGAUGCGCAGGGUCGACGAGCGCUCUCGCGCGUCACAGCACGCAACUCCUUGAAAGCCCUGCCUUUGCCUGUCGCCCUCAUCUGGGCUUCAUGAAUACACUGCCGCAGCUGUGCAGUGUUACAGGUAAACGCCUAAGAGGAUGGAGAGAGGUGCCGCACCUCGCUGCUCUGCGCUGCCCUCCCCUCUUCCGCAGCCAGUCAGUGAGAUCACUUCCUCAGUGCGCUGAAAAAAAAGGCGAAGAGGUAUGCAUGGAUGACGUGCCCCCGCAUGGUCGAAUGGACACCCCAGAUCGUGUACGCCGCGUUGGCGUCCCCCUCGCACACAUGCCGGACUGGCCCCUACAUUGUUGUGAUGCGAAUAUGCUCGCAUCUCAUCUGCGCAUCUGCUGGUCAUCCUGAAUAAAGACGCCUUCGUUUUGAGGCUCGCUGAGUUUGAUGAGGACUAGAUGCCCUUCAAUCAGGGCGGCAUCACGGAGGUCUCUUUAAGGGCCCCCCUAUAGGGAAGCCCCGACGUGUCGCGUUGCCGCACCCCAACGCAGUCAUUAUGCAAUUCUUGCGAAGCCACGGAAAUCGCCCCGGCGCGUGCAUUAAGCAGCUCGCAGAGGGGAGCACAGGACGUACCUACCGGUGCCCCCUCCAUGGAUUUUCGGCCCGGGGAGGAAGAAAAGACGAGCGAAGAGAGCCGCCACCUUGUCUUGGAACGAGCUGAAGGUGAUCGGGGAGUCCCCAGCCCCACAUCGCCCUCCACGAGCUCCGGACUCGAGCUCCAGCACACCGAAGACAACGUGAGGAUUCUCAUCAGCGUUUCCUCGGCGGCGUACAAGACGCUGGCCAGUGGCGUCGGGUCCGUUUGGGAAUUCCGCUUUAUCUUAGGAGAGGUGAGAGCUGAGAUUGCCAUACGUGGCACUAAGUUUACGGACGCCACGGAGCCUCUGCUGCCGUGUAAAGCGGGCAUGCGCUGCUGCGGCUAUUGUCACGGCCGUUAGCCACGCGUACAGCACAGCCGAAGGUUGUGUUGGCGGAUGCUGGGGGGGGGGGAGUGUCGGGCAGCGCAUGCAAGGCAUUCGGGGGCACCACCACGUGGCGGCAGAUACCCAGCCUGUGGCCCCGCGUAGCCCCAUAUCCGCGAUUGCCAGCGAUCCUCCGCCGAAGGAGCACACACAGCAGCGUCGUUCGCAUCAUGCGAUGGAAGCGUAGGUGCAGGCAAGGCACACGUGCGCUGGCCACAUCAUCAGCAUCUUCAGGAGGCUUGUCCAAGCGUCAUCACGUUGUCACGCUAAUGGACACAGCGCUUAGAGCGGAUGGCAAACGAGCUCUGCUCUCCAACGGGUGAGGCGGGGGAAGCGAAAACCGACGUGCUCCCGAUGUGCCGCAGCACACAGCCUGCCCCCUCCCCCCUAGUGCGUUGUCUGCUGCUGCUCGGGUGGAAAACAGCGAGUCGAUGACACAGGGUCCAGCGUCUUGAACCACGGAGCAUUUGCCACCUGACCGAGUCGCACAUGUUGGGCGACAUCGCCCAUGGCAGGCCACGAAAAUGGGGAUGGAACCCCCAACCCGAUAAUUUAACUGCUUCUCCCUCCUCCGCUCAUUCUCUCUCUGAUAUCAUGCUCGCGAGGGGCACGGCAUACACACACGCACACACAUUCAUGCGUGCGUUGCAAAAUCGACGACGUCAACGUGCAUACACUUGGGUGCGAGGUAAAGCUGUUCCUUCGCGAACGUCGAAAGCACUAGUGAGGUGUGUCGUUUUGAGCCACGAUAUUGCUUGAUUUAGGUCUUCUGCCGCAGUGCAUCACAGGAAGGCGGGGGCGGGGGUGUGAAAGUCGAUUAGAUUGCGAAACGGGGGUGCACCAGCACCACACUCAGUGAACAGCACGCACCGAGUGCAGAGGCCGUGGUCAGCGACGGCGGUGCGGCGAUCUUUGCGUAGGGGAGGUAAAAGCAGCUCAAUCGUGACCGAGCCAGUGCGUCACGUGAACAGAGAGCGAAGGCACCACCCGCGCCUAUUCGUCUGCUAUCCCUUUUCUCUCUCUCUCGUCCCCUCUCUCCUGCCCUCACGCUUUUCGACUAG
rnacentral:misc_RNA from 1 species